AUUGAACGCUGGCGGCAGGCUUAACACAUGCAAGUCGAGCGGAGAUGAGGUGCUUGCACCUUAUCUUAGCGGCGGACGGGUGAGUAAUGCUUAGGAAUCUGCCUAUUAGUGGGGGACAACAUUCCGAAAGGAAUGCUAAUACCACAUACGUACUACGGGAGAAAGCAGGGGAUCUUCGGACCUUGCGCUAAUAGAUGAGCCUAAGUCGGAUUAGCUAGUUGGUGGGGUAAAGGCCUACCAAGGCGACGAUCUGUAGCGGGUCUGAGAGGAUGAUCCGCCACACUGGGACUGAGACACGGCCCAGACUCCUACGGGAGGCAGCAGUGGGGAAUAUUGGACAAUGGGGGGAACCCUGAUCCAGCCAUGCCGCGUGUGUGAAGAAGGCCUUAUGGUUGUAAAGCACUUUAAGCGAGGAGGAGGCUACUGAGACUAAUACUCUUGGAUAGUGGACGUUACUCGCAGAAUAAGCACCGGCUAACUCUGUGCCAGCAGCCGCCGUAA
rnacentral:rRNA from 1 species